UAAUUUUGUUAAAAUAACCAUACUACUGACAUUAUCCUGCUGAAAGAAAAUCUGUGUUGAUCGUUUUUGAUUUUGCCUUUAUGGGGGUAAACUCAUAACAGAUUGACAUUAAAAAAU
rnacentral:snoRNA from 1 species